rnacentral:rRNA from 1 species
CAGCAGCCACGGUAAUACGGAGGGUGCAAGCGUUAAUCGGAAUUACUGGGCGUAAAGCGUGCGUAGGCGGUUCGUUAAGUCUGUUGUGAAAGCCCCGGGCUCAACCUGGGAAUGGCAAUGGAUACUGGCGAGCUAGAGUGUGUCAGAGGAUGGUGGAAUUCCCGGUGUAGCGGUGAAAUGCGUAGAGAUCGGGAGGAACAUCAGUGGCGAAGGCGGCCAUCUGGGACAACACUGACGCUGAGGUACGAAAGCGUGGGGAGCAAACAGGAUUAGAUACCCCCGUAGUCCCUGUCUCUUAUAC